rnacentral:rRNA from 1 species
GACGAACGCUGGCGGCGUGCCUAAUACAUGCAAGUAGGACGCACAGUCUAUACCGUAGCUUGCUACACCAUAGGCUGUGAGUUGCGAACGGGUGAGUAACGCGUAGUUAACCUGCCUAUUAGAGGGGGAUAACUAUUGGAAACGAUAGCUAAUACCGCAUAACAGUAUGUAACACAUGUUAGAUGCUUGAAAGAUGCAAUUGCAUCGCUAGUAGAUGGACCUGCGUUGUAUUAGCUAGUAGGUAGGGUAAUGGCCUACCUAGGCGACGAUACAUAGCCGACCUGAGAGGGUGAUCGGCCACACUGGGACUGAGACACGGCCCAGACUCCUACGGGAGGCAGCAGUAGGGAAUCUUCGGCAAUGGGGGGAACCCUGACCGAGCAACGCCGCGUGAGUGAAGAAGGUUUUCGGAUCGUAAAGCUCUGUUGUUCAGGAAGAAAGAGUGUGAGAAUGGAAAGUUCAUACUGUGACGGUACUUAACCAGAAAGGGACGGCUAACUACGUG